rnacentral:rRNA from 1 species
CGGUAAUUCCAGCUCCAAUAGCGUAUAUUUAAGUUGCUGCAGUUAAAAAGCUCGUAGUUGGAUUUCGGGUGGUGCCUGCCGGUCCGCCGUUUCGGUGUGCACUGGCAGGGCCCACCUUGUUGCCGGGGACGGGCUCCUGGGCUUCACUGUCCGGGACUCGGAGUCGGCGCUGUUACUUUGAGUAAAUUAGAGUGUUCAAAGCAGGCCUACGCUCUGAAUACAUUAGCAUGGAAUAACACGAUAGGACUCUGGCCUAUCCUGUUGGUCUGUAGGACCCGGAGUAAUGAUUAAGAG